GCGAGCAUGCCCGCUACACUCACUGUCCAAUAUUUGGUAGCAGGUGUGAGUUUUAUCGCCGAAAUGGUCAGCGGUACGUUAUAAUACAAGGGUGACACGGCGGCACGGCCGGUAGCGCCGCCGUCUCACGGCACGCGGGCGGCGCGAGAGGAUGCGGAUUCGAUCCCGGCCCAGUCCGCGCGGAGUUUGCACGUUCUCCCCGUGUCCGCGUGGGUUUCCUCCCGCGGUCCGAAGACGCGCCGCUCAGGUUCACCUAUAGCGUGCGAGUGACAUCAUGGCAAGGCGACACGGAGGAGUGCAAGACUGAAUAAAUCGGUGGUGAAGCAGUGAAGCAACUGUUGGCUGCAUUAGAAAAUGGCGCCAAACACGAU
rnacentral:lncRNA from 1 species